GCGAGGAUGGCGGAAAUGGCAGACGCGUCAGACUAAGGAUCUGAUGGUUAAAACCAUGGGGGUUCAAUUCCCCCUCCUCGCACCA
rnacentral:tRNA from 1 species